CUUUUUAUUUGUAUGCUAUUUUCUUUUUGAGUAACAAGCGUGUGUCUGUCUGAUUUCAGGUGAGGGAUGAAAUUGAACAUUUGUUGGAUGACAAUGAAGAUAUGGCACAAUUAUAUUUAACAAGGAAAUGGAUGCAGAAUCAACAGCCUGAGGCUUUGUUGGGGCGUUCUGCAUCAAAUAGAAUCUCUGCACCCCAUCUUCGUCGGCUUGGUUCUAACAGAAGUGGGAGUUUGGUAACCAGUAACAAUAUGGACUACGAUGAUGUAGAAGAUCUAGAGAUGCUGCUUGAGGCAUAUUUUAUGCAGCUGGAUGGAACCCGUAACAAGAUAUUAUCUGUAAGUGCCAAUUGUUGUGACCUACUAUAACUUUAUACCCAACAACUUGACUUCUAAGUUCAAUUUACGUACAUGCUUUAAAGUAUCUCUUCCUGGAGAAUUCAACCUUUUACAAAACAAUCUUUAAAUAUCAGUUGUCACCAUUAGCUUGUGUUUUAAUGCAGUUGCAUCAACUUUGAUGGAGUUCCAGAUAACUAAUUUUAGGUUAGAUUUCUUAAAUGUUGCAUAUUUUCUACUGAGUUCUGUGGUUGCACUUGCUCCUGAGCUCUUGUGGAUUCCCAGUUGUAACUAAUUUCACUAUCAUCGGUAUAUGAGGAUUGUCAUUUAGAAACCAGUUAGCCGUGCAUGUUAAGCAUAAUUGGUUAUUGUGUUAAUCUGUCCUUGAAUAUUGCUCAUGUUCUUGUCGUGUUCAUUGGAUGUAGGUGCGGGAGUAUAUUGAUGACACGGAGGAUUAUGUCAACAUACAACUUGACAACCAACGAAACGAACUCAUUCAGCUCCAGUUGACAUUGACCAUUGCAUCAUUUGCGGUAGCGGUGGAGACCUUGAUAUCUGGGAUAUUUGGUAUGAACAUCCCCUGUAUCUUAUACGACAAGGAUGGGAUAUUUGAGGCCUUUGUUGGGGGUAUUACAGCAUUUUCCGUGUUACUCUUCUUUCUCGUCUUCGGGUAUGCGAGGUGGAAAAAGCUGCUUGGUACAUGAGUCGAGCCUGUCAUCCGUCGUAGAUAGUACUGGAUUCACAAACUUAUUUACGAACCCUAAAGCAACGUCUUUGUAAAUAAGCUUGUGGUUUCAUGUUGUAUGAGCACAAGGAGUUUGUUAGGGAUUUCAUGGCUUGGUAUGCUGCCAGAUUCGUUUCGAAUUACAUGGCAUGUAGUUUAGUAUAGUGUUGCAUAUGAUAAACUGAUGAAUGAAUUUUCUUGGGUCAAAAUUAACAAGCGUUUUUGUUAAUUUGAAGAAAAUACAUGGAAUACUUAGAGCUAAUGGAAAACUUGACUCAAAAUCGAGCUCAUUGGCAUUUUAGGAUGUAUACGGCAGACUCUACUUAAUAAGUUCAAGCUCUUUGUUGUUGUAUAAUUAACUAGUAUUUUUGUUAACGGUUUGAAUAAAUUGUUGGUAAGAUUUAAGAACAAAAAGCUUGUAGCUCUUUGUUCUUGGUAAAGAGCAUUUUCACUUCCGGCCAAUGUUCCGAGUUCAAUCUUUCCUUGCUCAAUGUCGUUUGUAUGUGUGAUCAUAUGGGGACUCAUAAAUAAGGGACACCCUGUGGGCCCAAAAUAUUAUGAAUUUUGAUGAUUUGACUGUUUAGGGCUAGUUUGGAAAUGGUUUUAAAACAUUUGAAAUGUUUUUUUAAGAAAAAUGUUUUUUUAGAGGCCAAUCCUUAAUUAAAAUGCAAGUAAAUUUAGAAAAAUCAUUUAAAGUGUCACAUCCCGACCCGGGCUCCACCACAUCCCGGGCUCAACUCCACCGUAACACGAUAUUGUUCGCUUUGGGCCCCAACCACGUCGUCAUGGUUUUGUUUCUGGGAACUCAGACGAGAACUUCCCAGUAGGUCACUCAUCAUAGGAUUGUUCUUGCACAAAUUCGCUUAACUUCGGAAUUUGGAGCUCCCAAAAGCCCUCGUGCUAGGUAGAAAUGAGAAUAUAUAUAUAUAAGGCUUACAAGAUCCACUCACCUAGGCGAUGUGGGAUAUUACAAUCCACCCCCCUUAGGGGCCCAAUUUCCUUUUCGGCACACUUCCGACCAGGGAUUGACUCUGAUACCAAAUUGUCACAUCCCGGCCCGGGCCCCCACCACAUCCCGACUCGACUCCGCCGUAGCACGAUAUUGUCUACUUUGGGCCGCGACCACGCCCUUACGGUUUUGUUUCUGGGAACUCAGACGAGAACUUCCUAGUGAGUCACCCAUCAUGGGAUUGCUCUCGUGCAAACCCGCUUAACUUCAGAGUUCCGAUGAAACCCGAAGUCAAUGAGCUCCCAAAAGGCCUCGUGCUAGGUAGAGAUGAUAAUAUACAUAUAAAGCUUACAUGAUCCACUCUCCUGAGCGAUAUAGGAUGUUACAUAAAGUGUUGCCCGCAAAGAGCACGUAAUUGGUGCUUCUUGUAUGAAGCAUUUCAAGUGUUUUUGAAACCCAAAAUAUUUUUCUCAAAAACAGUUUCAAUUAUUUUAAAAACACUUCUACAUAUGGGUUUAGUAUUUGGUUAAGCUGCAGCGGCCAAAAUUGGUUGAAUUAUGCGGACAUGUUUGAUAUAUAUUGUAAUUGUACUGAAUUUGUUGUCUUGUUGUAGAUAUUGAUGAGGAAUUGGCCAUCCCCCCUCAUGCUCCUUUUAUGUGCCAACUCCUCCUCUCACUCUUUCUAUUUGUCGAUAUCUAUUAAUUAAUAAAUGUCGUUGUAAUAAGAAAUUAAAACCAAAGGAAAUGCUUGUAUGCAAUAAAGUUGCAAAACUCCACAAAGAAAAGUAAGGGCUCGUGAUUAUAAAAUGAUUGAAAUUUUUUUUGGUGAAAUUUUUUUUAGAAUUAAUUUUUAAUAAAAUUAUAAGUGGAUUCUAAAAGAGUAGUUGAAGUGCUUCUUGCAGUGCAAGAAUCAUUUCAAGUGUUUUUAAAACCCAAAAUUAUUUUAUUUAAAAGAGCAUUCAAACAUUUGAGAAGCACCUUUGAACAAGCCCUUAAAAUAGCCCUACUAUUAACAUUCUAAUGGGGUAGGAUUAUUGUUGGUUUGGGAAUUAGGGUUUAUAAUAAUCUAUUGAUUGAAAAGAAUAUUAUCAUUUCAAUUCUUUUCACAAAAGAAAAAAAAAAGUCAAACUCGUGAUGAAUUUGAGUUCUCUUAUUAUUUUGACAUGCUCAAACUUGUAAUCCAAAUGGUCUAAUUAUAAAUUUAAUUGGCGAUUUGGUAACUAUUUCGUUUUUAUUUUUAUUUUUUAUUUUUUAUUUUUUAUUUUUUAUUUUUUAUUUUUUAUUUUUUAAAAACUAAAAUGAUUAUUAAAAUGCUCUAAGAGCUCCCCAUUUUGUUCAAAAUUUUAGCGAAAUACGGUGUAAACUCUAAAUUUCUAAUGAAGUAAAUAUUGCUUUACCAGUAAAUUAUAAACCAACAUGAAUAAAAAUAUAUGAAUAUUUCAUAUAUUUUUACAUUCAUUAUGUGAUUUAUAAUUUUGACCGUUUACAAAUGCAUUGGACUUCUUUGCUAAAGUUGGUUUUUGGUAGCAAAUGGAAAGAUGUUUAUUUGAUUGGUUUUUGAAUAAUUUAGAUACGAGUGUGUUAAACCCACAACAGAGCGCAUGCAUUUUUGCUAGUUACCUCGAAACAGCACAAAAAAUUCAUAAUUUUUACAUGAAAAUUUAGUCCUAAUCAAUGAUACUGAGCAAUUAGAAGGAGUUUUAGUCUUACUUACGCCUCGAACGACGAGGAACCCGUCCAAAUGUCACGAUCGCCGUCGGAGGUCUCGGUCCGAAGCUUGGCUUUCCGUUUCCACAAACACUGGGGUGAUUGGACUUGCUGGGCUGUGGAAGUGGGGACGGUGGUCUUUGCUGCUCUCGCCGAUGGGAUUGCCACCCAUUAUUCUCGGCUUACCGAGAACGAAAGGGAGAGAGUUGCCUCUCCCGAAAGUUCUUGAAUGUGUUCUCCUCCCAAAAUGAGAGGGAGAGCCCGGGGAAGAAGAAGGGAGGGUGGGUCCCAUGGACCCCAAAACAAUUUAAAAUAAAACAUUGUCCAGCAAACGGACGAAAUUACUAAAAAUACCAUUGCCUUUAAAGUUUCAUAAAACUCAUUUUAAGUCUAAAUUGUUGUAGAAAUGGAUGUCCACUCAAAUAAUGGGCAAGUUGCCCUUCCACUAUUUAGCAUGUGAUUUACUUGUAUAAAAACAAGCCUUAUGAAACACAACAAAGGGAUAGAUAGAUGUGAAGGGUUCACGGGAAAGAAAGAGAGGAAGGAAGGAAGAGGAAGAGAGAGAAAGAAGAGGAAGAGAGAGAAUAGAGGAAGAUGAGAGGAGAUAAUAGAGAGAGUUAUCUUUGUACUCCUAUUAUUCUAAAUUAUAAUGAAAGCACCACUGCUGCCCCGAGGACGUACUCCAGUCACACUGACUGUAGAGGAACCUCGUAAAUUUUGUGUCUUGUUUCAUUUAUUCCACUGCACCCACAGUCGAUUUUACAACACGUUAUCAGCACGAGAAGCUCUCAUGUCGGUGGAAAGCACUACUUACCUCUCACAUCUAUCGGCUGGAAUCUCACAGAUAAGAAAAUCUUUUCAUUUCAUUCUCAUAUCUCUAAAUGACUAAUUUUCUUAAAGUAAAUAUACAUGUGGUUAUAUAAGUAUUGUCAUUAUUAUUGGCAGAAAAUCCGACGAUCAUAUGAGAUUUGAAACUUCAACUUCCAGUGCUCAUACAGAAACCAUUCCUUCAUAAAAGUUGUUCCUUAUCCUCUCUCCCAUAACAUACCAAAAUUCCAGAACCAUCCAACGGUUAAAUCAUUCCAUAUCUUAGAAAUAAUACUACAGACUCAAAAUCCGCAGAAAAUUUGGCAGCCAUGUAAAUAGCCACUGAACUCCAACUUCCUGACAUCCGAUUGAAAUACUUUCUUCUUGAAAGUUGUUUGUCCGCCUAGUACCUAGAACAUAUCCAAAUUUCAGAAAUUGUCAACGGUGCGAUCGUCGUAGAUGACUGAAACUUCAACUCAGCUUCCAUUUCCGCAGAAAACUGGACAGCCAUCUUAUGAGUACCAAACCUUCAUUUUCAGAAGCUCAGCUUGAAACUGUUUCUUCACGAAAGUUGUUUGGUAUCUUCUUAUCCAUAUCAUACUAAAUUUUGAGUUAAAUCUAACGGUUUGAUCUUCUUAUAAGUGGCAGACAAAGAAAAGUGUGAUUAUUUUGGGUAGUUGGAAAGAAAGAAAAAUAUACAUAUAUAAAUUGAAAAAGGGAGCAAAUGGAUGGUGUGUCGGUUGGACUAUUUAAAGAAAACAAAAAGGUUUUGGAAGUGAGUUGCACCAUUCUGAAAAAUAAAUAAAUAAAUAAAUAAAUUGGAAAGGUGGAUUUUUGGUGCAUGAUGUUGUCACAAAAGGAGAAAAGAACAAAUAUUAUUGGAUGGUACACGGCACCAUGUGAAUGAAUAAGAAACGAAAAUAUAUAUUUAUUUAUGUGAAUGGUGUUGGCUUAAAACACUUUCACAAGCUCUAUUUAUUUAAAGCAAUUUAUUUUCAGUGGGUAGCAUUAUUACCCUUUGCUUUAAAGCUUUGAUAUUUAUGUGCAUGGUGUUGGUUUAAAGCCCAUGUCACAAGUUCUAUUUACUUUAAAGCAAUUUAUUUAUCAUGGACGGUUUUACCACCUACUGCUUUAAGUUUUGAUUUAUGUGAAUGGUGCUGAAUUAAAGCCCUUGUCACAAGCUUUAUUUACUUAAAUGCAAUUUAUUUACUAUGGUUGGAAUUACCGCCUAGUACUUUAAUUUAUUUAUUGUACUUAUCUUUUGUUACUAUGAAUAUAUACAGGACCUGAAGUUCCUUGAUCAGAUCAGAACCUGCAGUUUCUUGAUCCUCAUCAUAUAAAAUGAUUGGACCCGAAGUUCCAUCAUACAAAAGGAUCUGGCAUGAAGUCCCUUGAUCCUGAAGAUCAGGACAUGAAGUUCCUAGAUGAGUACCGUAAGUUUGAAGUGCCGCAGUGCCUUAACUUAAUUGUAAUAAAAGCCAUAAGAGUCUUAGUUUACAGACUAUUAAAUAAGGACCAGAAGUUCCUUAUGUCCAUACUCAAAAUGGUUUAGCAGAAGCCUUUAUUAAGCGAAUGAAAUUGAUUUCCCGCGCUCUGCUCAUGAAAACGAAAUUGCCAAUUUUCUACAUGGGGACAUGUAAACUUUACAUGAUGCAUUAUUAAUUCGGUUGAGACAUGUUACCGACCAUCAAUACUUCUCAGUACAACUCGGGUUUGGAACCAACCAAACAUUAUACAUUUACGAGUUUUUGGUUGUGUUGUCUAUGUGCAUGUAAGACUGCCACAACGUACUGAAAUGAGGCAUCAUUGCAGAUUAGGCAUUGAUGUUGAACACCAUCUAUCAUUCAAUAUUUGGAAUUCUUGAUUGGGGAUAUGUUUACCGCAUGGUUUGCGGACUGUCAUUUUGAUAAGACAAUUUUCCUGCCAUUAGGGGGAGAAAAUAAUAUUGUUCCAGAAGAACGAUGAGAAAAUAUCAUUCCAAAAGAAUGAUGAGAAAAGACCGUUCCAGAAGAACGAAGAGAAUUUGUCUUAUUUUGAUUCACGAAGCAAUCAAUAAGAAAAUGAAAUAUGAAUAAUUGAAUGAUGCAACGAAAGUGAUGAAAUCAUAUAUACUUACUGCAAAUGUGCCUACAAGAAUUGAUGUCUCUGUUGGAUAAAAUAAUGAGACAGUAAAUGAUUUAUCUGUUGCACGCCUAAAGCGUGGCAGAUUUUUAGACUCAAAAGGUUCAGUUAUUCGAAAGAAGAAUAAUAUGGCACUACUGAACUAUUGCAUUCCCGAAGCAUAACUGUUGCAUGCCAGAAGCAUGACAGUCGCCGCGUGGAUACACGUCCCAGAUAGGACAAUCCACAGAUAUGAGAAUAUUGAUGUCUCAUGCAUGAAGCAUGAUUGACGUAUAGGUUCUAAAUGACUCAACUCUUGGAAGUGGAGAUUAAAAUCCAAGCUCUAUAACGCUCAAGAAGAGGUUAUGAUCCGCAUUCUCUAAACUAUGACUAUCCUGGAAGAGAUAGUGUAAUGCCCUUGAAGAGGCAAUGGAUAUCCAAAGAAAUGAAAAGCUUUUAUGCAUGCGCAUGCACAUGAGAAUAUGGGAUCACGGAUUGAUGAUAACCAAUGGUAAUUUUGGUUUUUACAAGUACCUACUAAAUUCAUCAAUGAGCUGUGUUAAUAUUGAGUCACGUUCUUUUGUUCGUCGACAAAAGAAAAAUUAUUGGCCAAAAUGGAGAAAGGCAAUUCCAUUACAAAUUUUGUAAGAACGUGGGCAAAUGAACCUAUAUAUAUUUGAAUACAAUACAAAUAGCCAAAGGAUGUUAAACCAAGGAGGUUAUAUAUGGGCAUUUGUAAUAUAGUGUAAUACACUUACAUGAUAUGACACAAGGUUGUAAACGAGUUCAUAUGAAUGGAGAAUUAUAUACGAAGGGUUGUGAGUCGCCCACAUUAUAUCUCCAUAAGUAAAUCCCUCAAGUAUACAUGGGAGCAAAUUGCUCUGUAUAAAUUCCAAAGGAAAAUGUGUCAUGAAGUGUAGAAAACCCUUGAAGGAUUCAAAUUGCUUGAAGUAAGCCUCUGAAGGGUAAAACAUAAAAUAUGUACUCAAUACCAAUUGAUGAUAUAAAUUACCUUAGUGAGUACUAUCAUUAUGAUAUUGUUGCAACAUACUAAAAUCUCUUGCAAGAGUCAAUGACAUUAAAUUAUAACUCUUGAAGAGUCGAUGAUAUUAAAUUGGGACUCCUGAAGAGUCUAGAAAAAAUUAUAAAGUGUUGAAGGAAUUAUUGUCUCGAGCUGCAGAUCGAACAAUCUACCAACACGAAUCUUAUCCAUGAUAUUUAUGAUAUUAAAAGAACCAUAUGGAUUGAAGAUUAUGAGUUGAAUACUCAUAUGAUGAAGACACUAAGAAUAAUCAUUUAUCUUCGUGAGGGUAAAGAUAAAUUAAUAUUUGGUCCAGAAGCACCACAUCUUAGUGAAGUAUAUGCUUUAUUGUAUUUGGCACAAUACAUUGAAUGAAAUAAAGCUUAUUUAUUAAUAUCUCCAAGAAAUUACAGAUAUAUACAUACACAUGAGUUAAAAAACAAACAAACAGGAUGGAGCCUUCACAAAGGUUGCUCAUGUGAAGCCUCAGUACUCGGAAGUACCCCAGAAGGGGGAGGCACUGGAGAUUGAUCAUGUGGCACCCCAGUACUUAGCAAAACACCAGAAGGGGAAGGCAUCAGUUGCUUUCGGAAUCUAGCAACGAACCUCUGGUGAUCACUUUGAAUCCGACUUUCGGAUUCCUGCAGUUGGACGAGCUUUCUUUUCAUGCUCGUAGAGUAACUAUUUGCAAGCACGUGUAACACCCUAUUCUCGUGCUUGAGCCCUCUGAUCUCUUGUUUAAGACUUGCCACCUCCGCCAUCAAUGAUUCAACUUGGCGAGUUUGAGCAAGUAGGCGUUGGCCCAUAUUGGACACAGAGCCAGCACACUGAACACUGAGAGCCAAGGAGUCUUGAACGGCCGACUCUUCAGACCGUUCUGAAAGGAUCUUGUUAUCCCUUGGAGUGAGAAGAUUCCUAGCUACCACAGUAGCGGUUAUGUUAUUCUUCAUCAUAGAGUCCCCAACCGUAAGAGGACCAUUAGAAGAUAAGAAGGACGGGCGCCAUAUAUUAUCUUGACGCUGCUCGUCUGUAUCACUCCUAAGACUCAAAUCUAAGCAAAUGUUAGAUGGGCAAGUCAUUUUUCAGAAAUGAUGAAGGAAAAACAGAGGUCAAAUAAAAUUUCAGAAGUGCAAGAAGGUGGAAAUUUCUCAGGCAGCAACUUUCUGAGCAUACUCUUGAACACAAUUGAUGUCUCUAUAAAAGAAGAGGCAGCAGAGCCACUUGUUCAAAGAUCGAUGAGUCACCGCUCUCCGAAUUUCAAAAGCCAGAUUUUCCUGAAUAAAAUUCGUUGGCAUUUUUCAGACGUAAUCUCAGCUUUUCAGAUAUCGCGUGCAACUUUGUCAAAGAUCUCUGACAAAGUUGAAAACGCGUAAAUCUUACUGUUCUAUUUACACCACAGUUGCUGACAAGAGUAAAAGCACAGCACCACCACUUGCUAUUGAGAAAUCUCUAUAUAUGUCGACCUCUGUUCUCCAUAACAAGGCAGACCCGCAACACUGCAAGAAUACCUAACUCUUCCUCAUCUCCGAGAAUGCAUCUUCAACAUAGUAUUUCGAAAUACUCAGUUUUCUUCCUCUCCGAGAAUACCUCUUCAAACAUGUCACACCAGAGCAAGAUUAUCACAUAUCUUCAGGGACCAGAGCAAGAUUAUCUCAUAUCAUGCAAUCUCCCUGUCAUUUCAUUUGUCCUUGUUCUUGCCUACGAAGACAAGGAUAAAGAAAGCAAUAUGUCGGAACUUCCACUCAAACUCCCGGUAAGGAACCGACUGCCUGGAACCUUUCCUGAUUGCUUACCUAGUGUUGCUCUCGAGUAGUCAUCUUUAACGGUUGGAGCUGGGUCUCCAGUCACCAAGAAGUGAUGAACCAUUCAAAUGCAAGGGUUUGCAUUCCUCUCCUGCAUCAGGGGACAAAUCCUACAAGAGAAGAUGCCACACAUGCAUGGGGGAAAAGCAAGGAAAAUACUACUUAAGCAAGGGGAGCAAGUAAGGAAAGUGAAAAUGAUACAUUGAAGCAUGUGGAGACAAGCGCAACAAACGCGUGCUGAUUCAUCCCUAACAAAACUGAAGAUCACUUGCCACAUGAAGCUCCUCAUGGUCCAAUUUCAUUCAAGAUCAAUCCUCGAAGGUCCUUGAAGAAAUCACAAGUCCGAUUCAAGAUCAAGUGUCCACCACUUUUGAAUCAAAUUCCACUCCAGAUAAAAGGAGUAAAUUCAGAUCUUCGAUACUAGUCUAGCAGAAAGUCCUACAACUCAGUUCAAGAAAAAGCCUGUGGAAAGUUAACAAGUAAAGCACCUCUUUCAGCAACUCUUCUUACUAAGAGACUAAAGCAGAACAAUCAACGAUCAACCUAAAUGAUUUGAAAUCAGGGGGAGAUACUCAUCAGGGGGAGCAUCUAAAACAGAUCAAGAUUUUAACGAGUCAAUCGAAGACUUGUAGCCAUCCAAGGGGGAGUGUUGUAGAAAUGGAUGUCCACUCAAAUAAUGGGCAAGUUGCCCUUCCACUAUUUAGCAUGUGAUUUACUUGUAUAAAAACAAGCCUUAUGAAACAUAACAAAGGGAUAGAUAGAUGUGAAGGGUUCACGGGAAAGAAAGAGAGGAAGGAAGGAAGAGGAAGAGAGAGAAAGAAGAGGAAGAGAGUGAAUAGAGGAAGAUGAGAGGAGAUAAUAGAGAGAGUUAUCUUUGUACUCCUAUUAUUCUAAAUUAUAAUGAAAGCACCACUGCUGCCCCGAGGACGUACUCCAGUCACACUGACUGUAGAGGAACCUCGUAAAUUUUGUGUCUUGUUUCAUUUAUUCCACUGCACCCACAGUCGAUUUUACAACAUAAAUCUUGUUCUGCUUAACCCCAUGCGUAGUGAUGAAUGCAAAUGUCACAUGUGUCCCGACUACUAAGUCAACAGAUGUCUACACUCUACAUACACCAUGAGGGGCAGUUUAGUCAUUUCCCAUCUAGAAGGUUAAAAUACUAUAAUUUAGGCCACAAAAAAAUUGGGUGCAAAAGAUUUGAACUCUCAUUUGAGGGUGGGGAGCAAAAAUGCACUAUUUAUUUAUUUGAAUUAGUUUCUAACUCGCUAUUUAUAAAAUUCGAAUAUAAAUUCUCUCACUUAGAAUUAAAGAAUAAUACUAAUAAACUAUACACUUAGGCACAAUUUUUUUUCUUGUUUUAUUUGGAUCUAAAAAUCGGAUCAGGAUCCUCUCCUGAGCAGAUGGAGAGGAUCCUCCUGACCAAGCCCAUCGGGCCGUUCAUUUUUUAUCCAACGGCUAUAAUUAUUAUAACUUUUAGAGGGGCCUCCUGUUUGUAACUGUUGGAUAAAAAAUGAACAGCCCGAUGGGUCUGGUCAGGAGGAUCCUCUCCAUCUGCUCAGGAGAGGAUCCUGAUCCCUAAAAAUCGUAAACAACUUACAUGACACCAAUAUAAAAACAAUUUAUAUAGAACGAGAACGGCACUCAUCAUGUGACGUCUCUCGUUUAAUAUACAUUUCUGCAACGUUUUAACGUCGCAUGACGAUUAACCUCACCACCAGUACACCGCCCCGUAUAACUUCUUCUUCACCAUUACACCGCCCCCAGCCGGAUGAAAAUCCCGCAUUCCUUAUAAUAUGUCAAGUAGGCGCUGCCUAGGGGAGUCUGAUCGGAGAGACAACUUAAAAGAAAGAAGCAAGCGGCUGGGGAGGAUGAGGAGGAGGAGGAGGAGGCGGAGUCCGAGUAGGAGAAGUGGAAGGGGAAGGGGAAGGGGAAGAGAGCGAUCCAUGGCCAACUGAAUAGUCACACACAACUGGAAGAGAGAGAGGGAGAGAGUCCUGGAGAGAGAGAGGGACCAUAGGAAAAAUGGGGAAGGGUCCCUUCUCUUUCAAGCGCAGCAGCAGCAGCAUACGACGCCGCCCCAAGAAGUUCAUUGGCCCUCCUUCUACUGUUUUUCCCUCUACGCCUCAGCCGAUUCAGUCUCCUUCGCCCUCCAACAAUGUUAAUAUUAGCAAUACCAAUACCAAUAGUCUGAGUGCAGUAGUUGCUGGCGAUGCCGGCGGUGGCGUGAAGGGGAAGAAGAAGGCAGGAGCCAGGCUUUGGAUGCGAUUUGACCGCUUCGGCGUGUCAGAGCUCGUCGAGUGCGAAAAGAACGCUAUCAUUCGACGCACGGCCAUUCCCGCCCGGGACUUGAGGAUUCUCGGCCCUGUCUUCUCCCAUUCAUCCAGCAUCCUUGGUACUCCUACAUAUUUUAUUAAGUUAUGCACCUACAUUAGGGUUAGGGUUUUGCAAUCAUCUUACUUUAUAUGUUAACUCUCUUCUGGGUUUUGCAAAUUUUAUUACUUUAUAUGUUAGUUCACUCGUUCUCCUUUGAACAAUGCCUUUCUAAGUUAUACUACUUAUGAAUACAACUUUAAUGUAUGUUAUCUUAUAGAAAGUAUUCUCUGCAUGAGUUGCUAGUGUUUUAAUUAUAAACUGUGUGUGCCAUAGUAGACCAUGAUAAGUAUGUAUUCCUCAUUUCAAUUGCAGCCAGGGAGAAGGCCAUGGUGGUUAAUUUAGAGUUUAUAAAGGCCAUAGUUACAGCCGAAGAGGUUUUGUUGCUUGAUCCUCUUCGGCAGGAGGUUAUUCCAUUUGCGGAUCAGCUAAGGCAACAGCUUCCUCAGAAAAGCCAAUCCAGGAUACAAGAAGCAAGUCCACUCGGUGAAGAAGAUAAUGGAAUGGAUGUUUCAACCGGAAGGCAACGGUUACCUGUUCCCGAGGCCGUUGAAGGUUUGCAGUGUGAUCUCCCAUUUGAGUUUCAGGUUCUGGAGGUUGCAUUAGAAGUUGUCUGUACAUAUUUGGAUUCUAGUGUGGCAGACCUUGAGAGAGAAGCCUACCCUGUGUUAGAUGAACUGGCCAGAAAUGUUAGCACCAAAAACCUUGAACUCGUGAGGAUUUUGAAAAGCAAUCUUACCCGUUUGCUUGCACGCGUCCAGAAGGUAUGUUUGCUUAAUCCUACCUCAUGAGUCAUAGUUCUCUAUAUUUGUUCAGAUGAUUUGCAAUGCUGUUUCUUUAGAUGAUUUGCUGUGCUGUAUCUGAUUUCAAUCCUUUCCGGCAUCAUUAACCUGACCCUACUUGGAGUUAAAAUGUUUGUCGAUUCAUAGUUUUUGUGAUAUUUCAAAUUUUUUUCUUAAACUUAAAAAUGUUUUUGGAGCACUGGCACCUUAAUAAUUUAAAACUAUCAAAUAUUAAUACAAAUCAGUAAAUCCUAGUUAAGUGUCUCCACACAAUCUGCUUCAAGAAGGUUUCAUGAAUUAUGAAUGGAAACACACAGAUACAUCAAUAUGUAAAGAUUGUGAUUUGCUGUGGUGAUGCACUCGUAGUAUGCAUUCAAUUCACUAAUAAAAGCAUCUUUACGUUCACUCAGAAUAUAUUUCUGGUCGCCUAGUCACAUCGGGUUGGUUAUCUGGGAUAGAUGCUACGGCUGUUUGGCUCAGUCAAAAAAUUGAGUCUAGUUGAGAGCCAUUGUCAUCAACUCUUGUUUUGUUGAGUUACUUUUAUCUGCGUUUCAUAUCUGUAGUCACGUGGAAAUACAAUUGUUCUUUUUAUAGCCUUUCUUGCACUCAUGCUGCCGUAUGAAGAGUAGCUAAGGUUUCUGGCAUCUAAAGCCUAAACUUUAAAUCAAACCUUAGCCUAAGUUUAAUGCACAAGUAAACAUAGAAGUGCUUACGAAAAGAUUCAAAUUACGAUGUUUAUGAUGACAGAGUUCCAUAUUUUAUAGAUGCUCCUACGGGUAAGUGAUGUGAAGGUAUGAAUAAUUUUUGAAAGCAGGUGAUGUUCUGGUGAAUAAUAAGAUAUUUAUUACUACCCUUCCUGCCUGGUCUCAUUUAGACCUAUUCUGGUUUUAGUUUUGACUUUGUUAGACAAUAUAACUGAGUGCUUAUGAAGUGAACAGCAUCAUGAGUUCAGGUUUACUCUGUUGAAAAUUGAGCGGAGGGGGCUUCUCUUGAAAUUGUUUCUACCUGAUGGGAUGGCAAAACCAACAUCCAUAUAACUUACUUUAUUACAUCACUGUUGCUUGGACAGGGGCUUCAAGUUUAGCUGAAAGAUGUACAUUUAUCACGGCAGCUUGAUAGAAUGCUUUUAUACUUACAUGUUGGAGGGGAAUUGAAUUUCUGUCGGACAUGUGAUUGAGGGUUUGACUGUUUCCAGAUAUGCAGGACUACAAAGAGAAGUUGAUACCCUUUACUAUUUGACAAUAAUGCUAUGAAAGAUUUCUGUAAAAUGGUUUUGGACAUAGGAUACAUGUUUUAUCUGUAUGCUACUGUUCAAUAGAUAUAUUGCUAUUUUCUUUUUGAGUAAGAAGCACGUGUCUGUCUGAUUUCAGAUGAGGGAUGAAAUCGAACAUUUGUUGGAUGACAAUGAGGAUAUGGCACAUUUAUAUUUAACAAGGAAAUGGAUGCAGAAUCAACAGCCCGAGGAUUUGUUGGGGCGUUCUGCGUCAAAUAGAAUCCCCGCAUCCCAUCUUCGUCGGCUUGGUUCCACCAGAAGCGGGAGUUUGGUAACCAGUUACUAUAUGGACCACGAUGACGUAGAAG
rnacentral:lncRNA from 1 species